CCUCUGAAUCUGAGAUCGAUCGAAGUUGAGCAAUCCAUGGCUCGAUGUUACUGCUUGGACAGCUUCUGACUGCCAGCAACUGAUCAAUCUUGAGACCUGCUAAAUCCUGCACCUCCCUAACGUCUGUCCGUGAUUGCUUUCGCAAAUAGAGCUUGAAGCUGGGUAUUCUGAGGCGCAUCACAGCUCAUAUCUGCUGAUCCUGAGGCUGGGAGUUGGGCCAGUUGACGAACUGUGUAAUAAUUAUUAGAAUAUAAGUGAUAUACGUAAUGUAAAGUAUAUUAUGGUGUUACGUAUAUAAUUCUGAUUGAAAUGAGAGUUUGCUCACCUUCUUGGAGAUGUAGCAAGGGCCAGGGGGUAAUUCCAAAUUCAUCAUCAGAGUAGACAGCGUCCAUAUCAAAUUGCUCCCACCAAAUACGAGCAUCAUCAGAGAUCCAAGAAUAAAACUUUGGAAUAUCUAUGUGUAGACGUGGCAGGUCUAUCUUGUUGUCAGACAGGUGAACUCUAUUUGGAAUGCCACAUGGAAUCUCCUGCACAGUAAACAUUUUGCAUGUAAAGUUAAAAAAGUGUAAUUUGAUCUAUACGAAUGCAUGAGCUUAAUUUAUAGCCAUAAGAGGUGUAGGUCGAUAAAUACAUUGUCCAUUUUUGUUACAGUAAAAUGCACGAAUCAGCGAAAAUUUAACCCUCAAAAAUGUUACGCUAUAUAGUGCAAAAUCCAAAUUUUUAUGAACAUAAUAGGCACAUUAAUUUUUUAAAGAAUUCAAGAAUCGAAUGGGUGUAUUAUCAGGGCCUAGAGAGCUGUAGAAUAUACUUAUGGUUCGAACUUCAGCGUCUGUAAAAAACUGCUAUUAAUUAUUAUAACAACUGCAUACACCCUAACACAAAGUGUGUUGCCAUACAUAAUGUAGUAUGCAUGUGCUUGUACGGUAUUUAUUAUGAUCACUGACAAAAAAACGUUAUUACAUGCGGACUUGCCAGAAGUAGUUUCACUGCUACAUCAGCAUUGCACCAAGCAUCACUGCUCCAAUGCCGAAAAUACAUCACAGCUUUCCCAUCUUCUAAAAAGAAUUUGAAGCAAUGUGGAAGAGAGUGACCAUUUAGUCCGUCAAUACAAGGUUCCAGCCACGACCUCACAUCAGAAAUAGUAUUGAGUACCUCAACCGUUGGGGUAGGUGUGCUUGACUGUGUAAUCUGCUUUUGGAGAUCUGUACAAUUAUACAUGCAACAAUAAUUAUGUAAUGUCACAAUCAAUUCAAAACCAACCUUAAUAAAUUUAUAAUUUAUAGGAAGUAUAAUUAUAGCUAUAAUUAUAAUUGACCACCAUGCAUAAUACCUACAUACUACAUGUAUAAUUAUGAAUGCAUAAUUAUUACCUGGUAAAGAUUCAGCUCCUUUUAGAGUGAGCUGCUUAGAUAUCCUUGAGAAAAGCUGGUCAAUGUCCUCAUGAGUAUGACCAACAGGUAGGAAGUUUACCCGCACCUAUUAUAGCACAAUGUAUACAGUGUCAUAUGCAUGCAUGGGCAACCAUGCAUUGACAAUGUGUGCAUGAAUGAUUAUAAUUAUAGUCAUUAGGGCAGGGCAGUGCAUGCAGUUGCUAGCCUCGAGACCAGCCGUUCGUUAUCUGAAAGAACGCCUGGUCAAGUUCUAAUGUACAACUUGUCUAGCUGAGUCAGCGUUUUAUAGCAUCAUAAUGAUAUUCAUGGGUAAUACACCUUGUGCGGGCAAUUACCGGUCCAAGAAAUUCCUGGACCAUAGAACGAGUGCUACAUUGGAACUUGACCAGGCGUUCUUUCAGAUAACGAACGGCUGGUCUCGAGGCUAUGCAGUUGCUAUGUAAUAAUUACUAUAAUGAUACCUUAGUGAAUAUCUUUCGUUCUACCAACAAUGCGCAAAACCCCAGGAAGAACUUGUUUUUGUUUUCUUUUGCUGUAUUGUCCAGUUGGAUGUUGAGAACUGGUGGGAGAUGAUCUAGAGCAAUCAAGGAUUUGAGCAGCACAUGAAUCGUAACGUUGCAGUCAUGAGGGAAUUGCAGCAUGUCAAUGUAGACGUGAGCUAACUUUCCAUGAGGUGCCCGGGUGUGUACUAGCACUCCAGUGACGUGUGUUCUGAGAGGAAGCAAUCCCUGCACAGACUUUGGGAUCUUUGCGAGGCGAGGAAGAUUGGUCUUGUGCUGAUCCAUGCCAUCAAUGAUGAUGGUAACACUGUGUUGUGGAUUUGUUCUAGAUUUUUCCCGAUGACCAUAAUACUUCCGCCUUUCUUGCCUGUCACCAUAAUAAUAAUAGCAAGAUGGAAUAAAAUUCGUAUGCAUAUAAUUGUGAGUCCUAUGCACCCAUGCAUAAUUACGUUUUGGAUGUAUAAUUAUGCACAUGGGACGAGUAAUUUAGGUACAUUUACUUGCUGUCUGACUAAAGGCAAAGAAUUAAUUGCGUGGAAAUGUAAUGUGUACUCGAAUACAAGGUAAAGGCUUGCAGAGUCACUUACUGAACAAUCUGUAGAUGUUGAUCAUACUCCUCCUUAAAUCCACACCUCCAUCCACUCUUCAUUCUUUCCUGGUCAAACUUAGUGCAAAUAUCACACUUGCUGAAAGCGCUUUGCUGUAAAUUGGAUAAUUAUAUGGUUAUGGUUAUAUAAUAAUAGUAUAAUAGAAUACUUACACUGGGAAUGAGCACCUUCGAAAAAUCUUCUUUCCAAAAGCGAUAAAAGGUAGAAACUUUCACAACAGCAUCUUCUGGGAUUCCUCCAGCCAUGAGCUCCCUCUUCAUCCUGACGUACACAUCGUACUUAGUGAGGAAAUGAGGAAGGUGUACACGAUCGAUGUUAGGCAUCUGAUCUCCAAUGAGAUUAAAGUAUUGCCUCAUCCAAGUCUUGGCUUCAGACGUUUUUGAGGCCUCGGCUCUCACGUGGGGUUUUCUAGUGGCUUUGUGAAUGCCAUUUGAGAAUUGUUCGGUUACUGUUUUGAAUCUCUUGUUUGAAAUUCCAAGAAUAUUCAAGAAGGCGUUCUUGCAUACAUGCUUUCCUUCGAGCAUCAUCGUAAGCUUGCUUGAGCUCGAUGAUUGUCUGCUUGACGAGGGAAUAAAUAUCAAUGAGGUAUCAAACAGAAACUGUUUCUGGUCAGCUCUUCUCUUUUUGUUAAAGAUACCUCUAACUUUCUGUACUUCCUGCUGAGUAAAUGCAGCAAUACACACCCUUCCACAACAUUGAAACCGAUGAGAGCUUACAGGAGAUUCACUCUCAUAUUCCAAAGGAUCUUCUGUCCUUCGCUUCUUGACAGGUGUUGAAUUCAAAGGAGCUUCAAAUUGGGGAUCAAAAUCCAUGAGUUCGAGUAGUUCGGAGUCAGCAUCACAGUUAGUGAAGCUGGAGGACACAAACAACUCUUGGCUGCUGUCUACAACAGGAGAUAAGAGCAGAGAGUUUUGCGUGUUGGUAGUCAUGCUUGUCUCUGGAGACACAAUAAGAAGGGAGUCUUGCGCUAUGCUUGUUUCGAGUUCUGGUGACACAAAAAGGAGGGAGUCUUGCGCUAUGCUUGUUUCGAGUUCUGGAGACACAAUGAGGAGAGAGUCUUGCGCUAUGCUUGUUUCGAGCUCUGGAGACACAAUAAGGAGAGAGUCCUGCGCUAUGCUUGUUUCGAGUUCUAGUUCUGGAGACACAAUGAGGAGAGAGUCUUGCACUAUGCUUGUUUCGAGUUCUGGAGACACAAUGAGGAGAGAGUCUUGCUUGUUGUUAGCUAUGCUAGCAGGAGUGCAUGCACCCCUGAUGCUAGUUUGUGAGUCUUGCUUACUGCUUGUCCCUGGUGACACAAUAAGGAGAGAGUCUUGGCUAUAACUGCCAUCAUAGAGAGGACAUGAAUCAUUCAUCAUUGCAUGCAUGCAAGCCACAAAUCAUGCGCACUGAACUAUCACACCUGCGGGUUCACGCAUGGCUACUUUAUUGCGCAUGCGCCGAUGGACUAGCACUAUUCAGCUGCAUUUAAAACUGCACUGCACUGCGCUGCACUUAGUAGUACGUGCUUAGCUACUGUAGCUCCCUAGUUUACAGCAUAGGUGAAGAAUGCCUGCAACCAAGAGGUGGCACUUUGAGUUUCUCGUGGGUGGAGUCAGUGGUAUCACUGUGUACAAGAAUGGUGCAAGGAUUAAGAGCUACAAACUCCCAAAUCGCCCAGUCUUGGAAAGUGUAUAUUCAAUAGGUACUCCUUCUACUAGAAAGACUUGUGAUAAGGUUAAAGAAUACCUAGAUCAAGCCAUUGAGGUAAGCUAUAAUGUAUAACAAUGUUGUAAUUUUAGUAAUAAGCACCACAGAUAUAAUCCUGGUUUUUAUUGGUCAUACAGGUCACAUUUAAAUGCAAGACUACUGUGCUCCUGAAUCGGAAGGAGUUUGAAUGGAAUAAAUCAGCAUUUUGUCGACUGUUGAGGCUGUCUCCUGGGGCGAGAGCAGUCGACUUCAUUCAAGUCUUCAACCAACUGACAAAGAUCAGACCCUCUCAACAAAAUCUCUGACUACAAAGCCCGAGUUUAAGCAGCAAAAUUUUAGCCCAAUCCAGUGCCUUCCUGAUGAGUUCAAGCUGGAAAUGUUAUCAAAGGUAUACAAGCGC